CAAAAAAAAUUCAUUCAGAUUUUAAACUAUUUAUUUGGAUUUAGUUUUUAGAUUUUUUCGAAUAUUUCAUUUUUGGAUUUUUUGAAAUACCUUUUUAAACUCGAACCUAAAAUUCAAACAUCUGAUUUUUUUUUUGAAUCCGAAUGUGUAUCCUAACCUGAUUUGAACACUGAGUAGAAGUCUUGAUUAUGGUGCUGAAAAUUAAAAUAACCAAAAAUAUCAAACUGAACCCGAACAGUAAACAACUCAUUCACAAUUGUUAUCCACUUAUCGUUAUUCGGUUAUUUAAUAACAAGGGAACUCUUUUAUCUUAUUGCAGUUCCAUCACUUAGACCAUCUAUAAUUGUUUCAACAUCCUCUCUAUUCUCAACACUUUCAUUUUUUUCCUUUAACAUUUCACAUCAUAUAAUCUUUCUUCUACGUCAUUUAUUCAA
rnacentral:lncRNA from 1 species